rnacentral:rRNA from 1 species
CAUUAUGGUCAUUUCACGUUGAAAUCAACGGUUCUCGUCCGUUUCUCGAAGUUACGUAACGUUGAGCCUAGUUAGUACUUAGAUGUGUGACCAUUUGGGAAAUCUAAAUGUUGUAAGCA